rnacentral:rRNA from 1 species
UACGUAGGGGGCGAGCGUUGUCCGGAAUGAUUGGGCGUAAAGGGCGCGUAGGCGGCCUGGUAAGUCUGGAGUGAAAGUCCUGCUUUCAAGGUGGGAAUUGCUUUGGAUACUGUCGGGCUGGAGUGCAGGAGAGGUAAGCGGAAUUCCCGGUGUAGCGGUGAAAUGCGUAGAGAUCGGGAGGAACACCAGUGGCGAAGGCGGCUUACUGGACUGUAACUGACGCUGAGGCGCGAAAGCGUGGGGAGCAAACAGG